rnacentral:misc_RNA from 1 species
GAAUGAAGGCUAAUCCGUGUGCGCGUGUUUAAAUGUAAACAACGGUAUAUAAAGGUGAGGCCGAACCUUAAUUUAACCAUAGACCUGAUAGACCUUGAACUUUAAUUGUACAUGUACCAUUACCGGCGUGUCCUGGAAAGUUAAGUUUACGCUUGGAGGUAGGCUAUCUCCAUGGUUUACACAACGAAAUUACAACUCGAGCUCGACGGGGGGGAGUUCCAAUUUGAACGAGCGUCUGUGAACCAGUUUCCAGGGGACGAGUGGGUUGUUCAAAAUCAACAUGGCGUUGACGCCAGUCUGCGUAGAGGACUUCGAACAGUACCUCAAGGCGAGCGUGUCUGACUUCUUCUGGGAGUAUUACAGAUCAGGAGCCCAGGAUGAACAGACACUGAGAGAUAAUCCACUGGCCUUUCAGAGGUAUCGUCUUCGACCUCGAUGUUUGAGGGACGUGUCUCAACGAGACACUAGCACCUCUAUCCUUGGUCAUCGGCUUGCGUUCCCCGUCGGGGUGUCUCCCACAGCCGCUCACUGCUUUGCACACAAAGAUGGAGAAGUUGCAACUGCCAGAGGUGUAUCAAGUGUUGGAUCUGCCAUGAUUCUCAGCAUGUGGUCCAACAGGACUCUGGAGGACGUCGCAGCCUCUGUGCCCCCCGACACGCCGUUGUUGCUUCAGCUCACCAUUCUGCGUGACAGAUCCAGAGUUGAGGCAGCAAUCAGACGAGCUGAGGCAGCGGGCUUCAAAGCGCUAGUGGUAACGGUAGACGAACCAAUGCUGGGGAAACGAAACUAUGAUAAUGGAAAGGAAGUUGACCUGACGGGAAUUAAGUUCCCUCAAGUUCUACGUUCUGACGAGCAGUUCAGCCGUGAUCAAAUACAGUUUUCUGAUUCACGAACAUGGAACGACAUUCUGCGGCUAAAAGAAUUGACGUCACUUCCAUUUGUGUUGAAAGGUAUACUCACAGCUGAAGACGCAGUGGAGGCUGUGAGGCAUGGUGCUGCUGGUAUCCUGGUGUCUAACCACGGCGGACGACAGCUCGAUGGGGUACCAGCUACGAUUGACGUCUUGGCAGAGAUCGUCAAUGCAGUGCGUGGUUCCGGUGUGGAGGUGUAUCUUGAUGGAGGAGUACGUAAAGGCACUGAUGUCCUCAAAGCCCUUGCCUUGGGUGCACGAGCCGUGUUCAUCGGCCGACCAGCACUGUGGGGCCUCGCUUACGAUGGUGCUAACGGAGUGGAAAAAGUUCUGGGGAUUCUGAAAGAAGAACUCAGCCUGGCCAUGGCUUUAAGUGGUUGUUCGUCGGUAGCAGACAUCACAUCGGACUUGAUCGCAGUGCCAUCUUACUGCAAGCUGUAGUAGCAAGUGAGAUCCACCCCAUUAUUCCAUGAAACCAUAAUUCUUCAGUACUUUAAGCAAAGAGCACACUUUCAUUUGGCCUAAUGUCAUGAUGAAAACCCUGAACCACAGCACCACGUGUCAACCAGUUGACAUCAAUUGAUCUUGCUGCCAGGUCUGAUGUAAUGACAAAACUACAUGAGGCAUGGGAGGCACAUGCCCUCAAUGAGUCUGUCCGCCCCCCAUGCACCCAUAUGAAAUGUGCACAUAAUACGUACAAACCACGAUUAUAUUUCACUACCUGCAUGAAAAAUUUUGUGCACCCCUGGAUACCCCCACAGAAAUUUUGACCUAGUCACACAAGAAGCUUUGGAGCACGUUUAUAAUCGAAUUUCAAUUUAUUAAAAAUGAACACUGUUAUAACAAAAUAUCAGUCCUUCUGAUUUGAGUCCAAACCAAAAGGAGGAAAAUCAAAUAUAGUUUCUAAAUCUCUCAGCAAAACAGCUAGGCAGUGUAGUACAGCACAGCUUCUGCUAGCUAGCUGUUUGCAAUACUGACAGCCCCGUAGCCAUUCCAAACAGAUCAGAUUAUUUACAUGUCAUUGGCCCAGUCCCAUCAAGUCAUUGUCAUUGGCCAAUCAGCUUGCUUCAAACAAAACAAACUUUAAGUCGCUAAGUGUUUUGGUACAAAAUUGUUCCAUAAGUGCAAUAUACCGGUAUAGUUGCAACUACGGCGUUAAAGUGCAUCAGGUGGCAAGGCUUUGGUACGGGAGUUCUGAAGUUUUAGUGUGUGGAGCCACCUCUUUAUUGCCAUUGCUCUAAGGUCCGUCUAGACCUGGAGCGUUAGCACCUGUUUAUAACCCCGACUAUUGUCAAAUAGAAUUCAGCCUGGCUUUAGCCCUCGUAUGCCCAAGGAAGGUUUUUAGUCUAAAGGCUAGAAUAAGGACAGUCUGAUGUAAAACCUACUACCUGAAGACCUUGCUGCAACUGUCCCAGCUUUCUAGGCCAUGGCAGAUGAACCCCGUGUGUAAAGGGUGGGGCCAGUGCAGCUCCACCUAAAAACUCCACGAUGCAGGCCUUAAGGUCACAUCCAAAUACCCUCCAACUACUUCAAGCCCUGCAGCGAUAGAAAAGAGGCAGAAACGGUAGGUUAAAAAUGGCACACUUGAAGCUGCAGUCCUCAUCCUGUAUGCAGGUGGUUCAUCAUCUGAUGACUCUGGAGACUACAACAUCAUUGAGCCCCACCCUGAACGACCAAGUAGCCUUCUCUAAGGACAGCACUGCUUACUCCAAGCAGAACUGGGUGACAUUCCAACCCUGUAGGAGACUGUCAAGGCAAUAGAGCAGUCAAAAAAGUGGCAAUGCACCAGGCGUUGAUGGAAUCCCUCCAGAAAUCUAAAAACACAGGGCUCAUCCUUACAUGGCAAACUCCAUGAACUCUUUUGUCUGCUGCUGAGAGCAUGGGAAGCUACCAUAGGACCUCCACGAAUUAUCAUCAGCCCGUAUCAGAACAGACGGCGAAAUAUCUGAUGAGUGUACUAAAUACAGGGGAAUAACCUCGCUCUCCAUUGCAGGUGAAAUCCUUGCAGGAAUUCUUCUGAACAGAUCCUUGCCAUCUAUCGCAAAAGAACAGCUUCCAGAGAGCCAUUGUGGCCUCAGAACCACUACUGACAUGGUGUUUGUACUCAGACAGCUCCAAGAAAAAUGUGAGGAGCAGAACACAGGGAUAUAUAUGAGUUUUGUCGACCUUACUAAAGCGUUCGAUACUGUCAGCAGGAAAGGUGUUUGGCAAAUCAUGGAACAUGAGAUCAGCAGCGGUCAAGUCGGGCAUAGCCUUGUCCUCUCAGAUCACUUUCCAAUAGACAAUGACGUUAAGCAAGUUUGUGUCCUCGCGCUGACUCUGUUCUCGAUUUUUUUCAGCGAGAUGCUCAAACGGGCCUCGGAAGACCUAAUUGACGACGAUGAAUGUGCUUGUAUCUGAUACUGCGCAGACAGUAGUCCGUUUAACUUAAGACGACUAAAAACCCACAUCAAAGAUACAGGAGCAACUCAUCCAUGAGCUAUCUACUUUUCUCUGAUGAUGCUGCCCUUAGUCUGCGUGCCCUGUAGCAAAAAACGUUCUUCGCAGAGGUUGCUAAGCUCUUCGAUCUAGGGGUUGGCUAGAAGAAGACAGAAGUUCUUCUUCAGCCCGCACUUCUUGAGGAGUACCUCUUCUUGAGGAGUCCAUCAAGUUAGUUUCCUCGGGUGCACCAUUUCAUCCAAUGCCAAGAUGAAUAAAGAGAUUGACAAUAAACUGGCAAAGGCAAGCAGUGCGUUUGGCAGACUGUACAAAUAAGUUCAGAACAAUAGGCAGCCGAAGAAAGCACUGAGAUCAGUGUAUACAGAGCUGUUGUACUGUCUACUCUUGAACUGAAUCUGCUUGCCCUGAAGAAGGUACUCAGUUACCGAGAGCUCGGCAAUCGCAUAUUUCAGAGCACUGAUUUGAUAUUAUAUUCUUGUCGAUAUUCUGAUCACGGUGCUACGCAGCCUUUCCAUAUUACUUUGUACUGUCUGCCCUUCUGUUUGGCUCUCAAGUGGUGGACCACUUACCAUCACCACCUCCGACUCCUUGAGCGCCUCCAUCAGCGAUGCAUGCCUCUGCACUAUCCCUCAUAUCCGGUGGAGUGAUUCUAUCACCAACACUGAAGUUCUUUCAGAUGGUGGUCACCAGCAUUGAGGCGAUGUUAUUGAAGACGCAGCUAUAUGCUGGGCAGGACACCUCUUCUGGAUGGAGAAUCAUCACCUGCCCAGUAUUGUGCUAUGUGGCGAGCUCUCGACUGGCCAUCGUGACAGAGGGGUACCUAAGAAAAGCUUCUAAUUGCAACUUUCAUAGCUGCGUGGGUGUUGCAACUGGUUCGAUGGCGUUUGCCCUUUAUUGCGGACGUGUCCACCAUGGAGGAAAGAAGACAUCCAUGGGUCCAUGUAGCCAUUUUUUUCUGUUUUGAUAUCAAUAACAAGUUUAUAAGCUUGGCAGACAAAGAGCAACCUUUUUAUGUUUCAUUUAAUGAGCCUCAGGAGUUGCAGGGGAACUUUCAGAUUUCGACUCAGCAGAUGUGAAACUUGGUAAGAUAUAGCUAAAGUAUCAUUCACUAAAUAUGCAUUAUUUUACAGUGUGUACAUUCAAAUUUGCCUAAUGUGCGUGUCGACCGUUAUGCAUCGAUUAAUACUAAAAACGGUGUUACUACUGGGACGUGUUUCUUGACUUCGAGGGCUUGUAAUCUCUACUGGGUAACAUUACAAAUCUAACUAUAUGAAUCAAUUAUGUAGGAUCGACUUUAUUUUGACGAUAUGUUUUAUUUCAAUUUCACAAUUGUCCCAAUCCAGCGUACUGAUUGUUAAUCAUCGCCCGAUUUGCAUAUGUAUUGAGAAGAAAUCUCCUUUUAACUAAUGGAUGAAUCCUUUCAUUUGCACAGCCUUGUACCAUUGAAUCUCACUGCAGAAAGAAUUUCAUAUAUAUGUGUAUUAAUUGCACUGCACGCAUUUUAUGUGUGUAAACGGUGGAGGGACGUAGAUUAUUUGUCAACAGAGUCGCUAUAGACAAGUUUUAGCUAAUGCUACUAAUCUUCAACUACUUAGCUGCACCAGUGGAAGUUCACUGUAGGAAGUUAAAAACGUACUUAAAAUGGUUAAGUUUUUACGUUAUUGAAAUGUCACUUAGGGAAAACGCUCGGCAGCAGCAUGUCAAGCGGGUACAGGGGCCCAAGCCUGUGUGGGGAUCAGAGUGUGGACUCUGUGGUAAGGGAUGGACUGGAAAUGACAAGUAGGCCUCAACUCGGAUAUUGUUUUAUUCCUUGCUACUCGAGAAUCAGCUCCUCUCGAGAACCAACAAAUUGAAGCCAAGCAAAUUGAACAAAGCCAAACAAAAGAAAGCGAAGCACUCCGUUACACUGAUACAGUAAAGGUGCGUAUGACAUGCACUUGACUUCUUAUCAUUCUGUUAAAUCCCAGGGUCACGAAGUGAGAUUAAUUUGUUCAAGAGAAAUAACUCUUAUUCUAUUUACGCAUAGGAGCCAAACAUAUAAGAUAACAUGAGUGUGCGUUGACAGAAACAAAUUGUUGAUUUUUAUUUGGCCAGUGUUUCCAUGUAGUAUUUUUAUUUAAAUUAGAUAAUUUCACGCGAAGAACAGACAAAGCCCAUUGGAUAGCUCAACUCUUGCAUGAGUAAGUCCUUUCUUAUGAGGUCACCAGGGUCACACAACAAAAGGAUUGAGGGUGUCCCAGGUAGAAAUUUGGCGGUGUAUAAACAAUUUUCGGGUUGUAAAGGAAACUUGCGUCGGAGAGUCCGAGGAGAGGGCACGUCUUGCCAUCCUCGAUGAUUUUGCUGUAAUUGAGUCUGAAACUGCGAGAAUCCAGCUAGGUGCACUGAAGAACUUAAUGAUUGGAAGCAGGUGUAUCGGUGAAGAUAAACUCCGACCGAUACGCAAGGCGGAAAAAACACUACUCGAGACGCAAGAUUUCCCAAGAACCAGGUGUCCACGCAACCUGUAAGUUUAUUUUGAAAAUGUUGUGGUUACACGUAUUUACAUUUAGAUAAGUGAUUGCUGGAGUAACGAAGAUGUAUUAGAGAACUUGGAUUUAUGGUUGCAUUGGUCACUUUAAAAGAUUAGAUGUUGUCAAGAUAUGGAGUGGUCAUUAUUUUUUAAAUAGUUGUAAUAAUGGUUGCAACUACAGGUACUAUAAUAAUAUCCUGUAUAAUUACACCCUUCGACGUUGUCGAACAUUUGUACCAGA